rnacentral:rRNA from 1 species
GACGAACGCUGGCGGCGUGCCUAAUACAUGCAAGUCGAACGCUUUUUCUUUCACCGGAGCUUGCUCCACCGAAAGGAAAAGAGUGGCGAACGGGUGAGUAACACGUGGGUAACCUGCCCAUCAGAAGGGGAUAACACUUGGAAACAGGUGCUAAUACCGUAUAACACUAUUUUCCGCAUGGAAGAAAGUUGAAAGGCGCUUUUGCGUCACUGAUGGAUGGACCCGCGGUGCAUUAGCUAGUUGGGGAGGUAACGGCUCACCAAGGCAACGAUGCAUAGCCGACCUGAGAGGGUGAUCGGCCACACUGGGACUGAGACACGGCCCAGACUCCUACGGGAGGCAGCAGUAGGGAAUCUUCGGCAAUGGACGAAAGUCUGACCGAGCAACGCCGCGUGAGUGAAGAAGGUUUUCGGAUCGUAAAACUCUGUUGUUAGAGAAGAACAAGGAUGAGAGUAAAAUGUUCAUCCCUUGACGGUAUCUAACCAGAAAGCCACGGCUAACUGCGUGCCAGCAGCCGCGGUAA